GAAACACAUUGGGAGGAAAGCUGACUUUGCUAUGUUUUAAGACGCAUGGGAUGAGGUUAUUGUUACCUACAGAAGGAAGUCCAUGCUGUGAUGGAGAAAGGGUACAUUUACAGGUAUUAAAAAUAACCAAGGCCAGAUUUUGACCCCUUAGCUGCAUUAAGGUUCCAUUACCUCACUGGUGCCAUGAGAAGCUCCUUCCAUAUCAGAGACAGCAUCUAGGAAAUCCACUUAGAAAGAGGUGUCAUGAUAGUAAACAGGGGCAGGAAGAGUUUUUUUCAGAGAUACAGGAGAUGUUUCACACUCCAUGCCUAACUGCACAUCAAGUUUGCUAGAGCAAACCUUUUGUUCUUUUAAAAAAUACUGCCUGUCUGACUCCAUUCCCAUCUGUAUCCUCUUCUUCCCAAAUUAACCUCUCAAUAUGAAGAACCUGUUUUGAUUGCUGAACUUGCACACUCAGGAGUUUAUUCCCACAUGCUGGGUAGAUUGUCUGUGCUGCAGGGGGGAAAAACAGGAGGCAGGAAAGGGAAAACUGACUGGACUACCUCUCAGCAGAGGAUAAAAGCUGUCUGGCCCAGGAACAUCUGCUCGGAGCCUAAUCUUCACCGCUCAAGUAGCUCUAUCCUUAGGGGCAGUGUAUUGAGCAGGGGUGGGGAACCUUUGGCCCUCUGGAUGAUGUUGGACUACAACUCCCAUCAGCCUUGGCUAUUGACCAUGCUGACUGGGAGAUGUAGUUCAGCAGCAUCUGGAGGGUUUCCCACUCCUCAUAUAGGGCACAGAGCUGGUAGCAGGUUUACCUGCAAUCAAAUUCUUCAUGACAAGGCAAUGAUUUAGAGGUGCAACAGCAAAAAGGAAAUGGUUCCUCGGAUGGACCAGUUAUCUCCUCACUACCCACUUCUACUGCAGCAGUGACUAUUGACAAUGGCCCUGACUGGCAAGAAGAGCUAGUGUUAAGUAGGGUAACCAGGAAGGGGCACAUCUAGAGACUGGGGCACAAAAUGGGCAAAAGAUCUUGACAUACAUCAAUUGCUGUUAAAAUCAACCUAAGUUAAGUAAUGUUCUCUUUUCCAUAAGGAAUAAUUAAACAUGUUUUCAAGAUGGCAGAGGAAAAGUAAGGUAUUGGCAAACUCCAAGGUUUAAUGAUGACAGAAGACCAUACAGAGUGGGAGCAGUGUAGUUUCCUGAUGAUGCUGUGUGGGCAACCUAACACAAUAAACAGCUGUGGAGAACCUCAUUUUAGUUUCAGAAGGCUCAAAGCCUAACCAUUUCACAACAGCACCUUGCAUGCCUACACAUAGUUAUGCCUCUGUGCAAAUGGACGGGCUGUCAGCUGGCAGGCACUUUUCCCAAAUAUUUUCUUUCAUUGUUGCCUAUAAGCUAUGCUAUUAAGUACUUCCAUAACGGUUGAGGAAAGUUGGCACAGAUGGUUAAAAAUAAUGUCCUUGUAAAGUUUUUUUUCUAACAGGUUGCACCAUAGUGGGCCAUUGGUGGAGGAAGGUGUUACAGUCUCAUUUGGUCUCUUCAGCCAUUGAAUAAGGUCAUACCACUGAGCCACACAAUCUUCUUCCAAGUCCUGCCAUCUCAAAGCUCAGACUUGGCUGGAAAUCUUCUCAGCUACUGCAUUAUUCCAUACAUAGUUAUAUCAUUCUUGUUCUGUACAUCCAUCCUCCUCUUUCCAACACUUUCCUGUUAUUUGUCUUGCAGCUACCAAUAAAAAGGUGAACAUCUCUUUCA